UGGGAGUUGUCAGAGGUGAAGGAGGAAGAAAACAGCGAUGGUGACAACGCGAGGAAAAUCCUGCCCAUGGAGCUGCUGGAGGCCAGAGAGUCUUGGCUGGGAACAGGACUCCCAACUCAACUGUUAUUGGUCCAUGGUUCCUUUUUGGUGCUGGGGAGUAAGCAAGGCUCUGAGACGGUGCCUCACCUUUGGUAAGAGGUCAGCUGGCAAGCGGGAAAUGAGCAGAACAGCCCAGAGUGGCCUCCCCAGGGCUGAUCCUUCAGUGACUGCUGAGAGCUCCACAACUCACACACGGGCCUGCAUUGCUAAGAGCUUCUCUGGACCAAAGCCUGCUUCCUGCUCGGCGCAGGGCGUUAGAUGGCUGCCCAGCCCCAGAGCAAGGACAUCUAUGUGACCUGUCACUUGUGCCAACGGGAUCAGAUCUGGGGAAGGAAUCUGCUGCAUACAGAAAACACACUAACCUCUAUACAGCACAUACUGCACAGACAGACAGGCAGGUAAAUGUGAUUGUGGGAGACUGCAGGAGGCAAGCAAGUGUAAUGCAACUCGAAGAAUUACAACCAAUUCUGAUCAAAACACACUCGGCUCCUGAAGGGCUUGUCCUGGGGAGAAUUGCCUCUUAGCUGCUGUUUGACUCACAGGCUGCUGGACUGAAUUAACAACAUGAGCAGUUUUCUUUAGCAGCUGAGCACACGCUAAAGAAAUUGGUAAGAAAGGAGGGUUUCUAUCUGGAAUACUGAACUUGGAACCCUACAGAGAUUGGGCAGCUGAGAAAGCCGUUUUGCAGGAACCACAGCAGCUCCAAAGACAAUUAAACAAGGAACCAGACUUUGUGCAAACUGAAGCAAAAUGGUGCCCAUCCUGGGAAUGCUGAAGCACAAUGAACAAUGUACAGUGGGGCUGUAAAGUACUUCAGAAAGGUGGUACUCUGCCACCAAUCUGAUUCCACUGAGGGAAGCCGUCCUUCUUUUAGACAACCUCAACUAUGCAUUAUGGUUGGGCCAUUUUAGAGGCUAUAUGGGGAAGCCUGGAUCAUGUGAGGAAGCCAAAGCUAGUGAAGAUUAAAACAUAAAUGUCCAUUGGUUUCCUCUUAGGGAGCUGUGAGGUUUAGUCAGUGGGCUCUGGUGGUUAGAGAGGACACAGGGAAUCAAGAAAAUGGCAGCUGCUGGUGACUCUGAGCUAUUGGAACUUGGCCAAGUCGCUUAACUUCUCCAUACCGCUGUUUUUCCCUACUGUAAAAUGGGGUUUGGUGAUAUUCAGCUGGAAGGGGCAGAAUGUUAUUAAUUAUGGUUAUCGUUCUGUAGUGGACAAACACAGGUUUCUAGCUGCUGUGUAUCUCUUCAUGCUAGGAAAAUCCAGUACCUGGUUUCAAACUUUUCUAAGGUGGCUUACCUCAGACAAUGGUCCAGGCAGGGCUGGCGCAACCCAUUAGGUGACCUAGACGGUUGCCUAGGGCGCUAACAUUUUGGGGGGGUGACCAUGGCGGCUGGAUAUUCAGCCGCCAUGGUCGUCAGUGGUAUUUUGGGGGCCGGACCUUCUGCCGCCUCCGUCGGGGAUGCCAUUUUGUGGGCAGGACCUUCCGCUGGCUAGGGCGCCAAAAAGGCUGCUGGCGCUCCGGGGCCCAGGUAUUCCAUGCCUGUUGAGAUCCACUGCUACAGUGGUCCCAGUCUCAAGUUCUUCACUCAAACAAGACUUUCAUUGGCUUCAAAGGGAGUUUAGCCUUCAGUGAGGAUGGGCGUUCAUCUCCCUCUGGUGUUAUCAGAGAAAUCCCUUUCCAUUAGGAAGUCUAAAUAGUUCUAUUUCCUUAGAGCAGCAAAUUUGUAUAAUCAUUAUUUAUGAGAUCCCAGUCAGAUAUGAUAUUAACACAAGGGACAGAGGGACCCAAAGAGGAAGAGAAAUGAGUGAUACACAGAACUUCACUUCCCAGCAGCUCAUUCUUGUUUCUGGUCGUCUCAUUACUAUCUGCAAAAUAUUACUCCAGAACUGUGAAUGGUUUGAUUCCAUGCUAUGCUGAUAACUUCCCAGCAGAAUGUGAGCUGGGAAAGCUGAAUGGGUAGAGAAAGAUGAUACAAGAUCAAUGUGAUCUCUGCAAGAUCAUCAAACUAACAAGCUUCCUCUGAGGCCACAUGAAUAUUAAAUCAUGUUUGCACAUGGUUAAUUGUCUCUGUAUACUUUAAAUCCCAGGAAGCUGUUUACUCUGCAUGUGAAUUCUGGGUCUGCUCCUCCU